rnacentral:rRNA from 1 species
UACGGAGGGUGCAAACGUUGCUCAGAAUCAUUGGGCGUAAAGCGCACGUAGGCGGUCGGCUAUGUCGGAUGUGAAAGCCUCGGGCUUAACCCGAGAAGGGCAUCCGAAACUGGCCGGCUUGAGUACGGAAGAGGGUCUCGGAAUUCCCGGUGUAGAGGUGAAAUUCGUAGAUAUCGGGAGGAACACCAGUGGCGAAGGCGGAGACCUGGGCCGAUACUGACGCUGAGGUGCGAAAGCGUGGGGAGCAAACAGG